UACGUAGGGACCAAGCGUUGUUCGGAUUUACUGGGCGUAAAGGGCGCGUAGGUGGUUCGGUAAGUCGGAUGUGAAAUCUCCAGGCUCAACCUGGAGGGGUCAUUCGAUACUGCCGUGACUAGAGGUCGGUAGGGGAGUGUGGAAUUCCUGGUGGAGCGGUGAAAUGCGCAGAUAUCAGGAGGAACACCCGUAGCGAAGGCGGCACUCUGGGCCGAUACUGACACUGAGGAGCGAAAGCGUGGGGAGCGAACAGG
rnacentral:rRNA from 1 species